rnacentral:lncRNA from 1 species
AAAAUCUAAAUUCUAUGAGGUAGAGAAAAUGAUAAAAAAGAAGCAAACAGAAUAAAGUAGCAAGAUAGGGAGAUGAGCAAUCGAAAAAAAAAACCAAUACACAUUACAACAACACCAACCCAGUAUAAUCCCAUUUAGUGGGGUCUGAUGAGGGUAGUAUGUACGCAGACCUUACCCCUACCUGGGGUAGAGAAGCUGUUUCCUAAUAGACUCCCGGCAUCAUUCCCUCUAAGAACUUCUCACCUUGUUCAUGUGUACCCAGACCAAUACACAUUGAUUAAAUGAAAUCAAAGAAGCCCAAACAAUCCAAAAAUACCAAGCAAUAUAAGCCAAACAAUGUGAAGCAAAAGAAGAACUUGGCCUGAAACCGGUGCAGACCCUCCAUUUCCCACCUCACAAAAACCAAGUUUGACCACACGCACGCCUGCACAACCUGCAUCCGCACAACCACACCAGUAGGUUUUACCGUCGACUCCGCAAACGGGGUCAGGACGAAAGCACUUAACGGGACAAGAAUAAUGAUUAUCUGUUACCAACCGCGGUGGCGUCAAGGGGCAGAUUUCUUGGUUGUCUUGUUCAGAAGGCAAUCUCAAGUGAUUACCUUCGUCUCCAUGAACGGCCACGGGGAAAGAGAUGAAGGAAUAUAACAGGGAAAAAGGAGCAGAUGAAAUGGGGAAGAAAGAACGAAAGCUCUCGCGUUAUUCCCCAUUUCACUUGCUCCCGAGAUUAUUGAAUAUUCAAAUGAAGCACACAAAUAUAUCCUUCUUCCACGAAAUUGCAAUCCCUGUCCCUCAAAAAGGAUUGCAAUAAGAGGGAAUUUCUGGUCUCCAAAGGUAAAUGGGUUAUUUUUUUCUUUUCACAACUUCUUGUUAUGCACUUUCUAUUUCAAGGCACAUAUCUUUGUUACAGCGCAA